AUUUCUUUUUCCUUCUUUCAACAUUUGUGCUUUUUUAAUAAAAUAGAGAACAAAUGGCUACUUGGAUGAUGUUACCGAAACAAAAAAAAAUCAACGCGAUUUUU
rnacentral:ribozyme from 1 species